rnacentral:rRNA from 1 species
UAGGGAAUAUUGGUCAAUGGACGCAAGUCUGAACCAGCCAUGCCGCGUGCAGGACGAAGGCCCUCUGGGUUGUAAACUGCUUUUGUAUAGGAAGAAACCCUUCGACGUGUCGGAGGCUGACGGUACUAUAAGAAUAAGGAUCGGCUAACUACGUGCCAGCAGCCGCGGUAAUACGUAGGAUCCGAGCGUUGUCCGGAUUUAUUGGGUUUAAAGGGUGCGCAGGCGGCCUGAUAAGUCAGUGGUGAAAGCCGACAGCUUAACUGUCGAAAUGCCAUUGAUACUGUUGGGCUUGAGUAUAGUUGAGGUUGGCGGAAUGUAACAUGUAGCGGUGAAAUGCUUAGAUAUGUUACAGAACACCGAUUGCGAAGGCAGCUGACUAAGCUAUUACUGACGCUCAUGC